UACAGAGACUGCGAGCGUUAUUCGGAUUCACUGGGCGUAAAGGGUGCGCAGGCGGCCGUGUGUGUGAGGCGUGAAAGCCCGGGGCUUAACCCCGGAAUUGCAUCUGAAACUGCCUGGCUAGAGUCCCGGAGAGGAAGGCAGAAUUCCCGGUGUAGGGGUGAAAUCCGUAGAUAUCGGGAGGAAUACCAGCGGCGAAGGCGGCCUUCUGGACGGUGACUGACGCUGAGACGCGAAAGCGUGGGGAGCAAACAGG
rnacentral:rRNA from 1 species